CUCUCGUGGAUUCGUCGUGGUGCGACGUAGUACGACGUAGUACGCCGCCCGCCAUGAGAAACGUUGGAGAAACGUGGUUCGAAUUAAGCCGGGUUGUGGUCAUCGUGGACGGGCAGAGGGACCAAUUUCGCCACGGUUCGGUCGAAGGUGCGUGAGCCCUGCCUCAGGGUCACGACGCGAACGAGGCCGUCACUCCCGGGGUGGAGGACUUCGACUCUGGCCAACGGCCAUCGAGUCGCAGGGGCGAGGUCGUCCUUCACCAGCACCAAUCUGCCCGGUCGGAGAUUGUCCUGUUUCCUCGGCCAUUUUACGCGCUGUUGUAGUGCGUGCGUGUACUCCCGACUCCACCUGCGCCAAAAGUGUUCGUGCAAGUUAGUGACGAGCUUCCAACGAGCGGUCCUGUGGAUCGUCGGAGAGAGCCGUGAGUGGUCGCGAGUUGAGGCAGGCUUCGAUACGGCAAAGCAACGUGGCCAUCUCCUCAUAGUCCCCCCAUGUGUGGAGAAUAUGGUGGAAUGAAGGACCAUUCCGUGCCCUCAUUGGCCAAGGUCCCAGCCGCUGCCCCAUAGAAGUCUGACGUGGCCCUGAACAUCCGCUGCAGCAGUCCACAUGCUCCCUGGAAGGUGGUACCGUUGUCGCUGAAUAGUUGACCGCAGUGACCUCGGCGUGCGGUGAACCUGUGGAAUGCUGCCAGGAACGCAGAGGAUGUAAGCCGUUCGCAAUGCAAAUGGGCCUGCGUAAUCCACCCCUGUACGGAGGAAGGGCUUCGAUGGCUGCACUCUGGCCGCAGGCAGGUUGCCCAUCUGCUGGUGACCUGUUCUGGCCUUCGUCCGCGUGCAAACGACGCACUCGUGGAGUACCUGCUUGACCCGAGCACGACCCCUGGGAAUCCAAAAAGCCCGAUGGACCCAUGCCAGGGUGGCGUUGACUCCGCCAUGUAAGGUCUUGUGAUGCGCAUCCCUGAUCGCAAGAGUGGCCAGAUGUGACGCUCGAUGGAGAAUAGCCGGAUGACGACGAGCCUCUCCCAAGGUAGCGUUCUGCAGCCGUCCGCCGACCCUGAUGAUCCCAUCCGGUCCUAGAAAAGGUCGCAACGAAAUUAGUGGGGAUG